rnacentral:rRNA from 1 species
GCAGUUGGGAAUCUUCCACAAUGGACGCAAGUCUGAUGGAGCAACGCCGCGUGAGUGAAGAAGGUUUUCGGAUCGUAAAGCUCUGUUGUUGGUGAAGAAGGAUAGGGGUAGUAACUGAUUCUUAUUUGACGGUAAUCAACCAGAAAGUCACGGCUAACUACGUGCCAGCAGCCGCGGUAAUACGUAGGUGGCAAGCGUUGUCCGGAUUUAUUGGGCGUAAAGCGAACGCAGGCGGGAGAACAAGUCAGCUGUGAAAGCCCUCGGCUUAACCGGGGAAGUGCAGCUGAAACUGUUUUUCUUGAGUGCAGAAGAGGAGAGUGGAACUCCAUGUGUAGCGGUGGAAUGCGUAGAUAUAUGGAAGAACACCAGUGGCGAAGGCGGCUCUCUGGUCUGUAACUGACGCUGAGGUUCGAAAGCAUGGGUAGCGAACAGGAUUAGAUACCCUGGUAGUCCAUGCCGUAAACGAUGAGUGCUAAGUGUUGGGAGGUUUCCGCCUCUCAGUGCUGCAGCUAACGCAUUAAGCACUCCGCCUGG